AACCUGCGGAGGGAUCAUUACCGAGUUUACAACUCCCAAACCCCUGUGAACAUACCACUUGUUGCCUCGGCGGAUCAGCCCGCUCCCGGUAAAACGGGACGGCCCGCCAGAGGACCCCUAAACUCUGUUUCUAUAUGUAACUUCUGAGUAAAACCAUAAAUAAAUCAAAACUUUCAACAACGGAUCUCUUGGUUCUGGCAUCGAUGAAGAACGCAGCAAAAUGCGAUAAGUAAUGUGAAUUGCAGAAUUCAGUGAAUCAUCGAAUCUUUGAACGCACAUUGCGCCCGCCAGUAUUCUGGCGGGCAUGCCUGUUCGAGCGUCAUUUCAACCCUCAAGCACAGCUUGGUGUUGGGACUCGCGUUAAUUCGCGUUCCUCAAAUUGAUUGGCGGUCACGUCGAGCUUCCAUAGCGUAGUAGUAAAACCCUCGUUACUGGUAAUCGUCGCGGCCACGCCGUUAAACCCCAACUUCUGAAUGUUGACCUCGGAUCAGGUAGGAAUACCCGCUGAACUUAAGCAUAUCUA
rnacentral:rRNA from 1 species